rnacentral:rRNA from 1 species
UGGCGGACGGGUGAGUAACGUGUAAAGAACUUACCAUAUAGACUGGGAUAACAGAGGGAAACUUCUGAUAAUACUGGAUAAGUUAGUAUAUCGCAUGAUAUGCAAAUGAAAGCUACGGCACUAAAGGAGAGCUUUGCGUCCUAUUAGCUAGUUGGUGGGGUAAAAGCCUACCAAGGCGAUGAUAGGUAGCCGGCCUGAGAGGGUGGACGGCCACAAGGGGACUGAGAUACGGCCCUUACUCCUACGGGAGGCAGCAGGG